AAAAUGCCUGUACCAUAACCGACACAGGUGGGUAGGUAGAGUAUACUAAGGGGCGCGAGAUAACUCUCUCUAAGGAACUCGGCAAAAUGACUCCGUAACUUCGGGAGAAGGAGUGCCUUAUUUAUAAGGUUGCAAUAACAAGAUCCAAGCAACUGUUUAUCAAAAACACAGGUCUCCGCUAAGUCGUAAGACGAUGUAUGGGGGCUGACGCCUGCCCAGUGCCAGAAGGUUAAAGAAGUUGGUUAGUGUAUGCGAAGCUGAUGACUGAAGCCCUGGUGAACGGCGGCCGUAACGAUAACGGUCCUAAGGUAGCGAAAUUCCUUGUCGGGUAAGUUCCGACCCGCACGAAAGGCGUAAUGAUUUGGAUACUGUCUCGGAGAGAGGCUCGGUGAAAUAGACUUGUCUGUGAAGAUGCGGACUACCUGCACCAGGACAGAAAGACCCUAUGAAGCUUUACUGUAACUUGAAAUUGGAAUUGGACUUUGCUUGCGCAGUAUAGGUGGGAAGCGUUGAAGAUAUUCUUGCGGGAGUAUUGGAGCUAUCAGUGAGAUACCACUCUUGUAAUGUUAGAUUUCUAACUUUGAACCAUAAUCUGGUCAAAGAACAGUUUCAGGUGGGCAGUUUGACUGGGGCGGUCGCCUCCCAAAUGGUAACGGAGGCGUACAAAGGUUUCCUCUGAACGGAUAGAAAUCGUAUCUAGAGUGUAAAGGCAUAAGGAAGCUUGACUGUGAGACCUACAAGUCGAGCAGGGACGAAAGUCGGUCUUAGUGAUCUGACGGUACUGAGUGGAAAGGCCGUCACUCUACGGAUAAAAGUUACUCUAGGAUAACAGGCUGAUCUCCCCCAAGAGUUCACAUCGACGGGGAGGUUUGGCACCUCGAUGUCGGCUCAUCGCAUCCUGGGGCGGUAGUACGUCCCAAGGGUUGGGCUGUUCGCCCAUGAAAGCGGUACGCGAGCUGGGUUCAGAACGUCGUGAGACAGUUCGGUCCAUAUCCGGUGUAGGCGUUAGAAUAUUGAGAGGAGCCUUCUUUAGUACGAGAGGACCGAGAAGGACACACCGCUGGUGUACCAGUUAUCGUGCCAACGGUAAACGCUGGGUAGCUAUGUGUGGAGUGGAUAACCGCUGAAAGCAUCUAAGUGGGAAGCCCACCUCAAGAUGAGUAUUCUCAUCACUAUAAGUGAGUAAGGUCACGGUAAGACUAACCGUUUGAUAGGCAUUAAGUGUAAAUGUAGUAAUGCAUGUGCUGAGAUGUCCUAACAGACCGAGGAC
rnacentral:rRNA from 1 species